rnacentral:rRNA from 1 species
UACGAAGGGGGCUAGCGUUGCUCGGAAUUACUGGGCGUAAAGGGCGCGUAGGCGGACAGUUUAGUCAGAGGUGAAAGCCCAGGGCUCAACCUUGGAAUUGCCUUUGAUACUGGCUGUCUUGAGUUCGGGAGAGGUGAGUGGAAUGCCGAGUGUAGAGGUGAAAUUCGUAGAUAUUCGCAAGAACACCAGUGGCGAAGGCGGCUCACUGGCCCGGUACUGACGCUGAGGAGCGAAAGCGUGGGGAGCGAACAGG